rnacentral:lncRNA from 1 species
ACUGUUAAGGCAUGAAACCACUGCAGAAACUCUUGAGUUUGUCCUUGCUCAGGGACGAGCAAGAGGUAAGCUUGGGGGAGUUAUUGACGGUCCUUAAGUACCAAAUAUAAUCAUCAAAUAAAUAAAGAAAAGGAUCCAAAUGCAACCAACACCCAGACUUAGGGUUUUAUCUGACAGAAUUCCACGAGUUUUGGUGUUUGUCUAUUUCUGCAGGGGGUUAUC